rnacentral:rRNA from 1 species
GACGAACGCUGGCGGCGUGCUUUCUUUUUGCAAGUCGAACGAUGAAGUUCCUUCGGGAAUGGAUUAGUGGCGAACGGGUGAGGAACACGUGAGGAAUCUGCCCAUCAUUUUGGGAUAACACCGGGAAACCGGUGCUAAUACCGAAUACUCCGUCUUGGCGGCAUCGCUAAGCCGGGAAAGAAUUUCAAUGAUGGAUGAUCUCGCGGCCUAUCAGCUAGUUGGUGAGGUAACGGCUCACCAAGGCAACGACGGGUAGCCGGCCUGAGAGGGCGACCGGCCACACUGGGACUGAGACACGGCCCAAACUCCUACGGGAGGCAGCAGUAGGGAAUAUUGGGCAAUGGGCGCAAGCCUGACCCAGCGACGCCGCGUGAGGGAUGAAGGUCUUCGGAUUGUAAACCUCUUUCAGUAGGGAAGAAGCGAAAGUGACGGUACCUAAAGAAGAAGCACCGGCUAACUAUGUG